UGGGGAAUGAUUGCACAAUGGGCGAAAGCCUGAUGCAGCAACGCCGCGUGAGUGAUGAAGGCCUUCGGGUUGUAAAGCUCUGUCUUUUGGGACGAUAAUGACGGUACCAAAGGAGGAAGCCACGGCUAACUACGUGCCAGCAGCCGCGGUAAUACGUAGGUGGCAAGCGUUGUCCGGAUUUACUGGGCGUAAAGGAUGCGUAGGCGGAUUUUUAAGUGAGAUGUGAAAACCCUAAGCUUAACUUGGGGACUGCAUUUCAUACUGGAAAUCUAGAGUGCGGGAGAGGAGAAUGGAAUUCCUAGUGUAGCGGUGAAAUGCGUAGAGAUUAGGAAGAACACCAGUGGCGAAGGCGAUUCUCUGGACCGUAACUGACGCUGAGGCAUGAAAGCGUGGGUAGCAAACAGGAUUAGAUACCCUGGUAGUCCACGCCGUAAACGAUGAGUACUAGGUGUAGGAGGUAUCGACCCCUUCUGUGCCGCAGUUAACACAAUAAGUACUCCGCCUGGGAAGUACGAUCGCAAGA
rnacentral:rRNA from 1 species